rnacentral:rRNA from 1 species
GACGAACGCUGGCGGCGUGCUUAACACAUGCAAGUCGAACGAGUGGCGAACGGGUGAGUAAUACGUGGGUAACCUGCCCUCUUUUUGGGAUAAGCCUUGGAAACGGGGUCUAAUACCGAAUAAGGGGGAUGGGCUCGCGGCCUAUCAGGUUGUUGGUGGGGAGAUGGCCUACCAAGGCGGUGACGGGUAGCGGGCCUGAGAGGGUGACGGGCCAGAUUGGCGCUGAGGAACGGGCCGGGAUGCUGCGGGAGGGAACAGUGGGGGAUGUUGCACAAUGGGCGAGAGCCUGGUGCAGCGACGCCGGGUGGGGGAUGGAGGCUUUCGGGUUGUAAACCUAGUUGGCUGUCGAAAGGGUAGGUGGAGAAGAAGCGCCGGCUAACUACGUGCCAGCAGCCGCGGUAAUUC